GACGAACGCUGGCGGCGUGCUUAACACAUGCAAGUCGAACGGUGAAGCGCCUUCCUUUUUGGUGGGUGUGGAUGAGUGGCGAACGGGUGAGUAACACGUGAGUAACCUGCCCCCUUCUUCUGGAUAACCGCAUGAAAGUGUGGCUAAUACGGGAUAUUCUGGGUCUGUCGCAUGAUGGGUCUGGGAAAGAUAUUGUUUCGGUGGGGGAUGGGCUCGCGGCCUAUCAGCUUGUUGGUGGGGUGAUGGCCUACCAAGGCGGUGACGGGUAGCCGGCCUGAGAGGGUGGACGGUCACACUGGGACUGAGACACGGCCCAGACUCCUACGGGAGGCAGCAGUGGGGAAUAGUGCACAAUGGGCGCAAGCCUGAUGCAGCGACGCCGCGUGAGGGAUGGAGGCCUUCGGGUUGUGAACCUCUUUCGCCAGUGAAGCAGGCCUGCCUCGUUUGUGGGUGGAUUGACGGUAGCUGGAUAAGAAGCGCCGGCUAACUACGUG
rnacentral:rRNA from 1 species